UACGGGGGGGGCAAGCGUUGUUCGGAAUUACUGGGCGUAAAGGGCUCGUAGGCGGCCAACUAAGUCGGAUGUGAAAUCCCCAGGCUUAACCUGGGAACUGCAUCCGAUACUGGAUGGCUUGAAUCCGGGAGAGGGAUGCAGAAUUCCAGGUGUAGCGGUGAAAUGCGUAGAUAUCUGGAGGAAUACCGGUGGCGAAGGCGGCAUCCUGGACCGGUAUUGACGCUGAGGCGCGAAAGCUAGGGUAGCAAACGGG
rnacentral:rRNA from 1 species